AUAUAAAGUACUAGAAUAAAAAAUGCUAUCUGUUGAUGCUUUGAAUAAGCAGCUCAGAUGAAGGCUUUUGCCUGAAAAAUAGGGGAGGAGAAUCUGAGGGAAGAGAUCUGAAAACCUGCUGAUCCCCCGGUCUUGACGGCUCACAGUUGAUAGCAGCACUUUCCGAGGAUAUCACACAGCUGAAAACUGUCUCGGGAUUAAUAAAUCCUUGUUCAGACUGCUAAGCUCCUCCAGUGAACCCCUCCCAAAUGCUGCUAGCUGUAAAUCUAAGGAAAAAAUUUUGAUGACUUAGUUUUUAACAACCACGUUCUCUGGAAGUUCUCUGAAAUCGUUAGCUGAUUCUCAGCAUCGCAGAAGCUGGCCAUGAUUUGCUUUAUUCAGCAUCCAAGCUCUCUCCUGCCCUGGUGAGCCCCAGUUGCAGGCAUGGCAGAGACACGUGCAGGACAGCCUCAUGACUCCUGCUCCCACCUCUAGCCGUACUGACUCCACAAAAUGUUCUUUCUGAGAAGAUAUUCGAGAAGUGUUUGGGUCUCCAGUACCUUGUGUGGAAGAUCUAACAGAGAUAGAUCACAUUUCAAAGCAGAUGAUCCUUUUGCUGUAUUUGGAUCCUGA
rnacentral:lncRNA from 1 species